rnacentral:rRNA from 1 species
GACGAACGCUGGCGGCGUGCUUAACACAUGCAAGUCGAGCGGUAAGGCUCCUUCGGGAGUACACGAGCGGCGAACGGGUGAGUAACACGUGAGUAAUCUGCCCUUCACUUCGGGAUAACCGCCGGAAACGGUGGCUAAUACCGGAUACGACGCACUCUCGCAUGGGAUGUGCGUGGAAAGUCUUCUCGGUGAAGGAUGUGCUCGCGACCUAUCAGCUUGUUGGUGAGGUAACGGCUCACCAAGGCUUCGACGGGUAGCCGGCCUGAGAGGGUGACCGGCCACACUGGGACUGAGACACGGCCCAGACUCCUACGGGAGGCAGCAGUGGGGAAUAUUGGACAAUGGGCGAAAGCCUGAUCCAGCAACGCCGCGUGAGGGAUGACGGCCUUCGGGUUGUAAACCUCUUUCAGUACCGACGAAGCGCCAACAACGGUGGUGACGGUAGGUACAGAAGAAGGACCGGCCAACUACGUGCCAGCCGCCGCAGUAAUAC